rnacentral:piRNA from 2 species
GUCGGUAGAGCAUCAGACUUUUAAU